GUGAAUCAUCGAAUUUUUGAACGCAAAUUGCGCUUCCUGGCAUCCCGGGAAGUAUGCCUGUUUGAGGGUCAGUAUUAAUAAAAACUCGGUUUAUUUGCAAAUUGUUACGUUUCCGGAGUUUUGGCAAUCUUAACAUUUUUGGUUAAGAUGCUUAGAAUUGACCUUUUUUGCGCAUUUUUAAACGUACAUAAAUUUUGUUUAUUCGUCUAUUCUUAGUGCCAAUGGCUUAUUAGAUGCGAUCACAUCGUGUGUCUUCAUGUCCAUAAAGUGUUCAUGAUUU
rnacentral:misc_RNA from 1 species